CCUCUUUAGUGUAAACUAAAAAGAUGAAUAAUGGUCUGCAGUAAAUAUAUCCCCUUACAACCUUUUCUUUCAUGUUAAUUUUAAUAUCUUUAAGAUAUGUGACAAGGGUGCUCUAAUGCAGAGGAAUUUACGAAGUUAAGAAGUUAGAAAUAUAUUUUUUGCACUUUUUUUGUCAUUUUUAGCUUAUUUUGGUUUGUAACCAAGGUGAUAAUUUUUUAAAGAAUAAUUUUACAAAAGGCAUAGUUGAAGAACAUCUUGUUGAAAUUGGAUUGGUUGAUUUUUGGUGUUAAACACCACUUUAACAUGAUUUACUAUAAUUUUGGCUGUAAAUUUUUAUUUGUGGAGACAGCCAGAGUGCCUGGUGAAAACAUCACCUUCAUCAGGGAAACGGGCAAACCCUAGUCAAAUUAAGAAUGAAGUUACACAUUUCAUGUGAGGGUUCUCAGUGUUGACAAGCUAGUGAUACAGUAGUUGAACUACUUAUAGGACCACUCUGCCACCAUAAGUCGAUCAGUAUGAAAUAUUUUAUUGAAAUGUGUUAGAUUUUUGUUAUCAAUCUAUUUUUUAAUUUCAAUUGUACUAUUUUAUUUAUUUUGUUUAAUAUAACAAGGAUGUGGAGUCCAAACAGGGUGAAAUUUGGGUCAAAGGGAGGCAAUUUAUUAUACCCCUGUUUAACUCCACAUACUUGAAAUUCCCUCAAUGUUAGGAUUUUCAUCUACUUGGAUAUUCAUGUUUGUACAUUUUUUUUUAAUAUCAGAUGUAUACUAGCUAAUAUUGACUAUUAUUUAGAGCUCUGUAAUAAAAAAAAAAAAAUGUAAGCAGAGCUCUAGAUAAUAAGUAUGCAGGGUGGGAGAAAUCUUGGGUCAUUAACAAUUGAUUUGCUGAAAUUUUCAAGAAAGGGGAUUUAUUGGAAAUGCAUCUGAUAUAUUUAAUGUAUAAAACUAUAUUUAAAAAAAAAAGAUGUUAAGAUGAUGAGGAGAGCCACCUUGUCAGCCGGGAGAGCAGCUCUAAGGGAGAUGGUCAAUUUAAUCUUCACCAAGUCUGAGGCUUUACCAUGAAAAAUAUGUGGUUGUUAUAAUGAUGAUGUUUUCAUGGUGUUGGGAGUAAGACUUGGAUGUCUGAUAUUGUUAACAUGUUGGUUAGCAUCAGGUUUCCAUUGGGUUACUUGCUGGGAUAAAGCUGUUAUAAGUCGAAAGAGUUGCUGUUGCUGCCUUCCUUGUAUGGUAAAAUCCUCAGACUACAAUCCUGCAAACCAUUGGAUGAACUGUUGCUAUCUUUUGUAAAAAAAUCGGAUAUUUGUCUUAAAAGCAGAAUGAAUUAUAAAUGCAAU